rnacentral:tRNA from 1 species
GGAGAAGUACUCAAGUAGGUUGAAGAGGUGCCCCUGCUAAGGGUAUAGGUCGUUAACGCGGCGCGAGGGUUCGAAUCCCUCCUUCUCCGCCA